UCUGCAUCAGUGUCCAGGGUUCCACAUCCGUGAGCUCUGCAUCAGUGUUCAAGCAAGCUGCAGCCUGGUACGCUCCGCCAGGUUCUAGGCGAUGGAAGGUUCUGGAAAGUGGAUCAUUUCCCCCCCUCUGGUAGACAGUCUACGUUUUAGAUGGUGCAUGUAUUGCAUGUGUGGUGUCUGUGUGUUUGACAUCUACAUAUAUAGCUUGUGGUACAAAAAUCGUGAAAACUUUCAUUUUCCCUAAGGCUUAUGUCCAAGUGCUUGUGCCUUGAAUGCAGAUUAUAAUAAACAGAGGCAGUCUGUGUCUGGAAACGCUGGACAUCUCUGCCUGAGUUAGCGCUCUUGUUCCAGGCCUCAGGGGACCAAGACAGAGGGUGUUUUUCUACUUUGCCCUGGAGCCCCUGAGCCUUUGCAGAUUGACAUAGCUGCUUUUCUCCGUGUGCAGGAUCUUGCCUCCAGCCCCCCGCAGCUGUGGGGCCGGUGGGGGAAGGUAGAGAGAAGUGGGAAGGAGAUCUAUGAUUGAACCUCUGCUGUCAAACACGGUGUUGGAUGCCGUACUUGGAUUGCACGGGAUCUUUCGCACAGCCGUGGAGAGUCUCCAAAUGCUGUGAAGUUGGCUUGAACCUGUGAACCUUCUGCCAGCUCUCCAUCUUUUACACUCUCUUAAGAAAUGCUGCUAAAGAUGUAGACCGUAUUUACAAAGUCCUUAGGUGUGGCCGUGAGGGACAUAGCGUUCGGUCUCCAGAACCGAAACUAUAGAAGGGGUUUGAUGACUGUUGCCUUGGUCCCGCCUAACUCACCUACCCGUGCCCAGUUGAUCUUGGACGGGCGUUUUCAGGAACGUUAACGUUUAUGUAAACUGCAGUGGGGUUUUCGACUAAGGAUACAGGGUCCUUAAGGCAAGACAACACUAUUAAUAGCGUGUGGAUGUGUGUGGUUUAUUUUUGUUUUCAAAAUGGAAAUGUCUCUUUGGGGUUUUGGCAUAUGCUCUUGGAUAUGUGGAAAGAUGAGAAAACAUCAUUUGGGAAACUCAGCACUCCUACCAUAUUAGGAAAUUUACAGUGCCUCGGAUUUCACAUUUAAUGUUUUAAUUGCCUGGUUUGGUAGUAGAAAAAUCUCAAACGUCUCUCUUUUCAUUUGAAGCUGCCACCACUUUCCCCCCCACCCCUCUCCAGCAGUGGACUACAGCCAGCUUCUCCUUCCUGCUCCAGCCCCAGCAUAUGGCCCGAGCAGUUGUCCUGAGAACACAGUUCAUCACGUGGAGAUGUUGACUUCUGACAUAGGCCGUUGUUUCCUGUGUCGCUUGUAAAUAUCCUAGAGGUGCAACGAAAAUGGAGUUGUAUUUUCGAAAUUUUGAAGACCUGUUGGAAUAGAGGGUGCUCCUCCAAACCUUCUGUAAGGUCCAUGAGAGGUGAAAGAGAAUUUUGCCAUCGUGGUCGGGGGACAGCAUCGAAGACCCAUGCCUGUACGAUAAGAGACACACAGAUGGAGACCGCAUGGCAGAGUGGAGAAUGAACAGAAGUUGAAUGGUCCAUGGAGUUGAGGCCUUUUGAAAAAAUCAAGAUGUAAAAUAAAAUGGGCAUUUACUCUUCUUGUUAAAUACCUUCUUAUGGAAGAAAUAGUAGUUCGAGGAUUUCUCAAAGUCAUUUCUUGGACAAAAAAACGGGAAGGGAAUAAGCUUAUACAUCUUCAGCGUCACACAUGGUCACAGGUUCAGAAGGAAAUGCGCUCAUAUCUGGGGAACCGAGGCUUCAUCACCAGGCAGCUGAGAGAGGGGAUUGUGUUCACUUUUCAUGGACCACUCGAAAUAGAAUUCCAAUUAAAAUGUAUUUCAUAUUUCAACAGCCCAGUGUAAUUUUUAAUCAUAGAGUAAUCCAUGCUUCGUGUAGAAAAUGUGGGAAAUACAGGAAGACUUCCAGAAGAAAAUAAAAAUAACCUAUAAUUAUGUAAACCAGAGAGAAUCGGGAGAUAUUUUUUAGUGUUUGUUUCUUUGUGCUUAUGUCUCUGUGCGUUUUUUUGCAAGUAGGAUCUGCGUAUAAAUAAUUUUUGAGUUCUCAUUUUCUUUCUGUAAUAAUAAAUAUGGUACUUAAUGGUC